rnacentral:rRNA from 1 species
ACUAAAUAGAUACCCAGGUAGUCCACGCCGUAAACGAUGAUCACUCGCUGUUAGCGAUAUACAGUUAGCGGCUAAAGCAAAAGCAUUAAGUGAUCCACCUGGGGAGUACGGCCGCAAGGCUGAAACUCAAAGGAAUUGACGGGGGCCCGCACAAGCGGAGGAACAUGUGGUUUAAUUCGAUGAUACGCGAGGAACCUUACCUGGGCUUAAAUGUAGAGUGCAUGAGGUAGAAAUACUUCUUUUACUUCGGAACUCUCUGCAAGGUGCUGCAUGGUUGUCGUCAGCUCGUGCCGUGAGGUGUCGGGUUAAGUCCCAUAACGAGCGCAACCCGUUAUCGUUAGUUGCCAGCGGAUAAUGCCGGGGUACUCUAGCGAAACUGCCGGUGUAAACCGAGAGGAAGGUGGGGAUGACGUCAAAUCAGCACGGCCCUUAUGUCCAGGGCUACACA